AAAAAAGGAAAGAAAGAAGGAAAAAAAAAUGAAAGAACCAAAAGAAAGGAAAAGAGAAAUAGGUUUUUUUAAAAAAAAGAGCAAAAUGAAACAAAAAAAAAGACGAAAAAAAAGAAAGAAAAAAUGAAAAAAUAGAUUGGAAUAUUAGUUUUGUCUUUUAGUGAAAAAAACGAAAAAGAUGAAAAAGUGAAAAAAACAAAAGAGAUUUUGGUUGGGAGAUUGCUGUGGGUGCGUGGCAGUGGAGAGUGGCAAGCGGCAUUGGCAGGCAGAUUGGUUUUGGCAGAGAUAGUCUGGAUUGUUGGAGGAGAAUUGGGCAAAGAAAAACAAAACGCAAAAAAAAAAACAAAACGGUAAAAGGAAUGAAAAAAAAGGGGGAGGACAAGGAUCACUCCCAGGCAUUCAUCACACACUACAGACAAUUCCCCCUAGGACUCACCACUACCUCCUUACCACAUCUGAACCGUUUCCUCUACUCUCCAAUACCACUGGUUCCCAAUUCAUCACCCAACAGAUUGAUCAUUGUUACCUCUGACCAUUCUCCAUGGCUUCCACCACCUGCCAUCUCCAUUUGAGGCCUCCAUAGUCUUGGAGGAGCACAGUCGUUUUCACCAUCACAGACCGUGCCUCAUUGUUUCAACCUAUCAUCCAUUACACCUAUUAUCCCCAACAAUAAAAUCACUCAUAGAACCCGUUUUUCCUCCAAGAGAACCAUCUCUCUUUUUCUUCUUCUUCUCUUCCAUCUUCCUACCCAAGGGAGAAAAGACUUCUCUUUGGCUCUCACCCGUGACACAGUUAACAACAUCCAUCACUCACAACUCAGAUUCUUCCAUUCAUUCAAUAGAAAGACCCUCCGAAACCAAUUCCUCCAGGAGGCGCUAACACACACACGACACCCCGUUUUGG
rnacentral:lncRNA from 1 species